CCUGUGUCAGCGGCUCUCGGGUCAAAGUGUCCGGGGCUUCUGUGCUAUUUCUCCUCGGAUGGAUUUCAGAGCUGAGCCACAUCACCAAACGCAUCCCGGAAGCAGAGCUGCCUCUGCGCUGAUUGGACGGAGCGGCCAACUGACAUCGAAGAAGGAAACAUGAAGAAGACAGGACACGACCUACGAGUGAACCUGAUCAUCAACCACAUCCGCCAGCUGGGCAGGAGCCUGCUGCUGCUCGCCCACUACACCACGGUGUUUGUGGCCUUCGUGGGCCGCAGCGUGCAGUGGAUGGUGGAGGCGGUGAGGUGGACCAGCCUGUUUGCACGAUACACCGUGUCCGCGUUCGAUUCCAUCUACAGACUUCUGCACCGGGGCAAGAGGAGCAGCGUGGCAGCGGGGACCAGAGAGAUCUGCCCGGGCGCCGACACGCAGCCACACUGUGCAUCAUAACUUCAUAUCUGCAAACUGACAACCACCAGCGGAGACUGGCUCAACUUACGAAAAGGGAGUGAAAAAAAAAAAAAAACGCACGAUGAAGGAGGAAAAUGAGGCCUUACUGUAGUGUGAAACUUUUUACUUUUUUUAAGCACUUAUAACAUAACUUUUUGUAACAUACUCUUACUAGUCUUGUACAUUGUUAUGUUUUUGUUAUCGUCAGCAAAAGCUCUUUCAAAAUGUUGGAAAACAUUCAAGCUCUUUGUUAGAUGAAGUCAUUCAUCCCUCGUACCUGUUGAUAUGACAGGGGAAUGGUAAUUUAUACCAUUUCAGAGUUAUCACACUAAAUUGAACAGUACAUGAAUUCAGUAAAGUACAAACCACUACCAAGGCCCGACAGGCCCCUCAUGAAACAACAUUUAAAGCCACUAAAUCCAGUUUUUUUAUUUGUACACACUCAUCUAUUUCAGAGCCCUAAAAAUGUCUGAUAUUUUCUUCCAGAUCCAUUAAUUAUUCUCUGAGAAAUCAAAGAAAAUUUAAAUUUUUAGAGUAAGUGAAAAAAACAUAUCUCGAUUUGCCCCCUAAACCAGAUUCACACCAAAGCUUAUCAGAUACUUUCCUGACACAUAUCACAUCUUUCCUCAAAGUUUUGUGGAAAUCUAUCCAGUACUUUUUGUGCCAUCUUGUUCACAAACAAACAGACAGGGGUGAAAUCAUAACUUCCUUGGCGGAGGUAAAAAAAAAAUGCAUCACACCAUCAACAGCCAAAUGUAUUUUUAAACCUGUGCCUGUGAAGUUCAUACAUGAUUUAAUAUGAAUGUGUUGUUUUUUGGGCAUCUUUUACGCUGACAUGACUGUGGAGACGCAUGCUGCUUUAUCUGUUUGACAUUAAUACGAAUGUGUUCCGCAGGUUAUCUGACGUUAGUGUGAGAAAUGACAACGUGAAAAGUGGCAUGUUGCUUUAAAGUGACCCGCAGCUGCAUUUACUAAUGACGUUUGUCAUUUUUACUUUUGUAUUAAUUAUUGUAUUUUAAAUGUAAGUGCAUUCAGAAUGCAACAUAAGCACUGACAUGAUUAUACUGGUAUUACUUUUCUAUUUCAGCUGCUGAAAUCAACAAACACACAUUCAAGUAUAUUGCAAGAUUGUUAUACCAAAGGAAUCCUGUGCAAGAAGUGAGAUUUAAUUUCAUAUAUUUUCUCGUAUUUCGUAUACGUUUCAAAAAUGCAAGCUGUAAUGUUUGUUCAGUUAUUGUACUAAUCAGCCAUAACUGGUUUCAUACUCUAAUAUCCAAAUAAAUUUCUCUACCAAA